GGAGGUUGGCUUAGAAGCAGCCACCCUUUAAAGAAAGCGUAAUAGCUCACUAGUCGAGUCGGCCUGCGCGGAAGAUGUAACGGGGCUAAAACUAUGUGCCGAAGCUGCGGAUGUAUACUUUGUAUACGUGGUAGGGGAGCGUUCUGUAAGCCGAUGAAGGUGUGUUGAGAAGCAUGCUGGAGGUAUCAGAAGUGCGAAUGCUGACGUGAGUAACGACAAAACGGGUGAAAAACCCGUUCGCCGAAAGACCAAGGGUUCCAGUCCAACGUUAAUCGGGGCUGGGUGAGUCGACCCCUAAGGCGAGGCCGAAAGGCGUAGUCGAUGGGAAAAUGGUUAAUAUUCCAUUACUUCUGUGUAAUGCGAUGAGAGGACGGAGAAGGCUAAAUCAGCCUGGCGUUGGUUGUCCAGGUGAAAGGAUGUAGGCAUGUAUCUUAGGCAAAUCCGGGGUACUCUAUGCUGAGAUCUGAUAGCAAGCUGUACUUGUACAGCGAAGUGGUUGAUGCCAUGCUUCCAGGAAAAGUCUCUAAGCUUCAGUUACACAGGAAUCGUACCCGAAACCGACACAGGUGGUCAGGUCGAGUAGACCAAGGCGCUUGAGAGAACUCUGCUGAAGGAACUAGGCAAAAUGGUACCGUAACUUCGGGAGAAGGUACGCUGUUGUUGGUGAUGGAACUCGCUUCCUGAGCUGACGACAGCCGCAGAAACCAGGCCGCUGCAACUGUUUAUUAAAAACAUAGCACUCUGCAAACACGAAAGUGGACGUAUAGGGUGUGAUGCCUGCCCGGUGCUGGAAGGUUAAUUGAUGGGGUUAGCGUAAGCGAAGCUCUUGAUCGAAGCCCCAGUAAACGGCGGCCGUAACUAUAACGGUCCUAAGGUAGCGAAAUUCCUUGUCGGGUAAGUUCCGACCUGCACGAAUGGCAUAAUGAUGGCGGCGCUGUCUCCAGCAGAGGCUCAGUGAAAUCGAAAUCGCUGUGAAGAUGCAGUGUACCCGCGGCUAGACGGAAAGACCCCGUGAACCUUUACUGCAGCUUGACACUGAACUUUGACCUUACUUGUGUAGGAUAGGUGGGAGGCUUUGAAGCUGGAACGCUAGUUCCAGUGGAGCCGUCCUUGAAAUACCACCCUGGUAAUGUUGAGGUUCUAACUCUGUCCCGUGAUCCGGGACGAGGACCGUGUCUGGUGGGUAGUUUGACUGGGGCGGUCUCCUCCUAAAGAGUAACGGAGGAGUACGAAGGUGCGCUCAGCGUGGUCGGAAAUCACGCGUAGAGUAUAAAGGCAAAAGCGCGCUUAACUGCGAGACCCACAAGUCGAGCAGGUACGAAAGUAGGUCUUAGUGAUCCGGUGGUUCUGUAUGGAAGGGCCAUCGCUCAACGGAUAAAAGGUACUCUGGGGAUAACAGGCUGAUACCGCCCAAGAGUUCAUAUCGACGGCGGUGUUUGGCACCUCGAUGUCGGCUCAUCUCAUCCUGGGGCUGAAGCAGGUCCCAAGGGUAUGGCUGUUCGCCAUUUAAAGAGGUACGCGAGCUGGGUUUAGAACGUCGUGAGACAGUUCGGUCCCUAUCUACCGUGGGCGCUGGAAAUUUGAGAGGAUCUGCUCCUAGUACGAGAGGACCAGAGUGGACGAACCUCUGGUGUACCGGUUGUGACGCCAGUCGCAUCGCCGGGUAGCUAUGUUCGGAAGGGAUAACCGCUGAAAGCAUCUAAGCGGGAAGCCUACCUCAAGAUAAGAUUUCCCUAGG
rnacentral:rRNA from 1 species